AUUGAACGCUGGCGGCAUGCCUUACACAUGCAAGUCGAACGGCAGCACGGGUGCUUGCCCCUGGUGGCGAGUGGCGAACGGGUGAGUAAUACAUCGGAACAUGUCCUGUAGUGGGGGAUAGCCCGGCGAAAGCCGGAUUAAUACCGCAUACGAUCUACGGCUGAAAGCGGGGGACCUUCGGGCCUCGCGCUAUAGGGUUGGCCGAUGGCUGAUUAGCUAGUUGGUGGGGUAAAGGCCUACCAAGGCGACGAUCAGUAGCUGGUCUGAGAGGACGACCAGCCACACUGGGACGGAGACACGGCCCAGACUCCUACGGGAGGCAGCAGUGGGGAAUGUUGGACAAUGGGCGAAAGCCUGAUCCAGCAAUGCCGCGUGUGUGAAGAAGGCCUUCGGGUUGUAAAGCACUUUUGUCCGGAAAGAAAUCCUUGGCCCUAAUACGGUCGGGGGAUGACGGUACCGGAAGAAUAAGCACCGGCUAACUACGUG
rnacentral:rRNA from 1 species